CAACUGGCCAAAUGGUUCACUGUUGAAGGGAUAGUUUAGAAAGUGAAAUGUCUAAAUUGUUCAAUUGAGCUUCACGCAUGAAGAGUAUUGGUAGACAGUCUUAGCUACAACCUCCUUAACUUGACAUUUUGACAUGUUAUGUUUGUGUGUGUGUGUGUGUGUGUGUGUGUUUGCUUGGAUACAGGAUUCCAGAGUCGAGCAAGUUCUAACAUCUAAGAAUCUUCCUGAUCUUCGAAGGGACCAAAUGUCAUAAUCUGGCUAUUCGUGGCACUGAACGGUUUCCAGGAAGGCCGGUUUGGACACAUGACUGACACUACAUGGAACUGUUCACCCAGAACUGGCCACCAGUGGAGAACUGGUGAAUGUAAUGGAGAGACAAACUGAUCUGUCUGUCAGUAUGAAUGUAAUGGAUGUUUGUUUAUAUACCUGUAUACUUGGUUGGUCUUUUAAAUCCGUUAUAUGUCUUGCUCAUUCUGCCUCAUUUUGGUUUCACUCAGUCUGUAUUCUGUAGACAAUUCCAUCCAUUGAGCAGUUUGGAGCCCUUGAUGAAGAGCUGCUCCUCAAACACAGGAAGAGGAUCCUACUCUAGGUGGGCGAAUGGUGGUGAAUAUGGUAGUUGUGUGAUUGUAUCAAUUCAAAAGAUGUUUGAUUGUAUGACUCUCUCUCUCUCUCUCAGAAUGGUGAACUUACUAAAUGACUGAGAGUUUGACUGUGUGAUAUUAGACUGCUUCUUGUGUAAAUAUUUUCUGUCUGGAUUUGAAUGAUUUGUGUGUCAGGCCGAUGAGAGGAUCAUGCAAGUGUCUGCUCCCCAGCAGAUCUUCAAGAACCCGAGGGCCAUCUCUACAGCUGUGGUGGAGAACGGCGGGGUGGUCUCCCCUCCGGCUCAAUGGGCUUCUAAAUGCCCUCUCUCCUCCUCCCUCUCUUCAACUGUCCCCCACCUCCCCUCUUUCCCUUUCCCUACCAUUCCGAAACUCUACCUCUCUGACCCACCCCUCCAUCUCUCCCACCCCUGCCCUUUGUCUUUUUAGUCAGUUAUAUUAUCCUCCAUAUAGCGCCAACUCCUGAACAUAACACCUGACUCCAUCCUGAGAAAUGUAUAUAUCUAUUAUGGACUGGUCAAUGCAAAGACGGUACUGAAUGUGUGUCUCGAAUCGGAAAUCCAAUGCUGGAACUCGACCGCACUGAAUGGUAUGGGAUUGAGGUUGGAGUUCUCAAAUGGACUAUGAAUGUUAAAGCGCUUAUGUACAGCGGCCUCGGAAAGUAUUCAGACCCCUUGACUUUUUCCACAUUUUGUUACGUUACAGCCUUAUUCUAAAAUGGAUUGAAUAAAACAUUUGUCAGAGCAAAAGCCAAGCCUCGCGGUCGAAGGAAUUGUCCGUAGAGCACCGAGACAGGAUUGUGUCGAGGCACAGAUCUGGGGAAGGGUACCAAAAAAAUGUAUGCAGCAUUGAAGGUCCCCAAGAACACAGUGGCCUCCAUCAUUCUUAAAUGGAAGAAGUUUGGAACCACCAAGACUCUUCCUAGAGCUGGCCGCCCGGCCAAACUGAGCAAUUGGGGGAGACGGGUCUUGGUCAGAGAGGUGAACAUUGAAUCUGAUGGUCACUCUGACAGAGCUCCAGAGUUCCUCUGUGGAGAUGGGAGAACCUUCCAGAAGGACAACCAUAUCUGCAGCACUCCACCAAUCAGGCUUUUAUGGUAGAGUGACCAGACGGAAGCCACUCUCCUCAGUAAAAUACACAUGACAGCCCUCUUGGAGUUUGCCAAAAGAUAUCUAAUAACUCUCAGACCAUGAGAAACAAGAUUCUCUGGUCUGAUAAAUCCAAGAUGGAACGCUUUGGCCUGAAUGCCAAGCGUCACGUCCGGAGGAAACCUGGCACAACCCCUACAGUGAAGCAUGGUAGUGGCAGCAUCAUGCUGUGGGGAUAUUUUUCAGUGGCAGGGGCUGGGAGACUACUCAGGAGACUACUCAGGAUCGAGGCAAAUAUGAACGGAGCAAAGUACAGAGAGAUCCUUGGUGAAAACCUGCUCCAGAGCCCUCAGGACUUCAGACUGGGGCAAAGGUUCACCUUCCAACAGGAGAAUGACCCUAAGCACAUAGCCAAGACAACUCAGGAGUGGCUUUGGGACAAGUCUUUGUGUGACCCAGCCAGAGUCCCGAUUGAACAUCUCUGGAGAGACCUGAAAAUAGCUGUGCAGUGACACUCCCCAUUCAACCUGACAGAGCUUGAGAGGAUCUGCAGAGAAGAAUGGGAGAAUCUCCCCAAAUACAGGUGUGCCAAGCUUGUAGCAUCAUACCCAAGAAGGCUCAACGCUGUAAUCGCUGCCAAAGGUGCUUCAACAAAGUACUGAGUAAAGGGUCUGAAUACUUAUGUCAAUAUAAUAUAUUUUUUUUAAAUUAUUAGCAAAAAAAAUCUAAAACCUGUUUUUUCGAGAAUUUAAAAAAAUAUAUUUUUAGAAUAGGGCUGUAACCUAAAAAAAUGUAGAAAAAGUCAAGGGGUCUUAAUACUUUCUGAAGGCACUUUAUGUAAUGUCGUCAUGAUUGUUCUAUAGUAUAUCUGAAUGUUCAACCUAGUAUAACACUGCAAGCUAGUAUGAUCAGUUCUCCUCUUUUAAUUUGAUUUGUACCAUGAAUGCAAUGAUAACAUUUUGCAUUCAGUAAGCUGAAUGAGAGACUAGGUAAAGGCUGAGUUGACAAGGUAAAAAUCUGUCGUCCUGCCCCAUGACCAAGGCAGUUAACCCACUGUUCCCCGGCCGCCGAAGACGUGGAUGUCAAUUAUGGCAGCCCCCGGCACCUCUCUGAUUCAGAGGGGUUGGGCUAAAUGCGGAAGACACAUUUCAGUUGAAUGCAUUCAGAUGUACAACUGACUAGAUAUCCCCCUUUUCCUAACCCUUCAAGCAUUCAUGCCCUUCCAUGUCAAUCUGUGGAUAUUGUAGAUUUGGUUUAGAUAUAUUAAUGCAUUGCUGGGCUUCUAGAGUGCCCUAAGAAAGUAGAUGUCUUUUCCCUCACCCAUCUACACACAAUACGCCAUAAUGACAAAGUGAAAACAAGGUUUAAGAUUUGUAUUUAUUGAAAAUGAAAUACACAAAUAUUGAAUUUACGUAAGUAUUCACACCCCUGAGACAAUACAUGUUAGAGUAAUCUUUGGCAGAGAUUACAGUUGUGAGUCUCUGGGUAAGUCUCUAAAAGCGUUGCACACCUGGAUUGUACAAUAUUUGCACAUUAUUAAAAUUCUUCAAGCUCUGUCAAGUUGGUUGUUGAUCAUUGCUAGACAGCCAUUUCAAGACGAUUUAAGUCAAGCUGUAAUUAGGCCAGUCAGGAACAUUCAAUGCCGUCUUGGUAAGAAACUCCAGUGUAUAUUUGGCCUUGGGUUUUAGGUUAUUGUUCUGCUGAAAGGUAAAUGUGUCUCCCAGUGUCUGUUGGAAAGCAGACUGAACUAGGUUUUCCCCCAGGAUUUUGUCUAUGCUUAGCUCUUUUCAGUGUUUUUUUUCAUCCUAAAAACUCCCUAGUCCUUGCAGAUGACAAGCAUACCCAUAACAUGAUGCAGCCACCACCAUGCUUGAAAAUAUGAAGAGUGGUGUUCAGUGAUGUUGGAUUUGCCCCAAACAUGACAUUUUGUAUUCAGGACAUAAAGUUAAUUUCUUUGCCACAUUUCUUGCAGUUUUACUUUAGUGCCUUAUUGCAAACAUGUCCUGGAAUAUUUGUUGUUCUUUACAGGCUUCCUUCUUCUCACUCUGUCAUUUAGGUUAGUAUUAUGGAGUAACUACAAUGGUGUUGAUCCAUUCUCAGUUUUCUACCAUCACAGCCAUUAAAAUGUGUAACUGUUUGAAAGUCA